UACGAAGGGGGCUAGCGUUGCUCGGAAUCACUGGGCGUAAAGCGCACGUAGGCGGAUCUUUAAGUCAGGGGUGAAAUCCUGGAGCUCAACUCCAGAACUGCCUUUGAUACUGGGGAUCUCGAGUCCGGAAGAGGUGAGUGGAACUCCGAGUGUAGAGGUGAAAUUCGUAGAUAUUCGGAAGAACACCAGUGGCGAAGGCGGCUCACUGGUCCGGUACUGACGCUGAGUUGCGAAAGCGUGGGGAGCAAACAGG
rnacentral:rRNA from 1 species